rnacentral:rRNA from 1 species
GAUGAACGCUAGCUACAGGCUUAACACAUGCAAGUCGAGGGGUAACGAGAGGAAAGCUUGCUUUCCUUGUCGACGACCGGCGCACGGGUGAGUAACGCGUAUCCAACCUGCCCCCAACUAGGGAAUAACCCUGCGAAAGUAAGACUAAUACCCUAUAAUUUCCUCAGAUGACAUCUGACGAGGAAUAAAGAUUUAUCGGUCGUGGAUGGGGAUGCGUCUGAUUAGCUUGUUGGCGGGGUAACGGCCCACCAAGGCAACGAUCAGUAGGGGUUCUGAGAGGAAGGUCCCCCACAUUGGAACGGAGACACGGUCCAAACUCCUACGGGAGGCAGCAGUGAGGAAUAUUGGUCAAUGGGCGGAAGCCUGAACCAGCCAAGUAGCGUGCAGGAUGACGGCCCUAUGGGUUGUAAACUGCUUUUAUACAGGAAUAAAGUUAGCCACGUGUGGUUAUUUGUAGGUACUGUAUGAAUAAGGACCGGCUAAUUCCGUGCCAGCCGCCGCCGUAA